ACGGGAGGCAGCAGUGGGGGAUAUUGCACAAUGGGGGAAACCCUGAUGCAGCAACGCCGCGUGAAGGAUGAAGGUUUUCGGAUUGUAAACUUCUGUUCUUAGUGACGAUAAUGACGGUAGCUAAGAAGAAAGCUCCGGCUAACUACGUGCCAGCAGCCGCGGUAAUACGUAGGGAGCGAGCGUUGUCCGGAUUUACUGGGUGUAAAGGGUGCGUAGGCGGCAGAGCAAGUCAGGCGUGAAAGCCAUGGGCUUAACCCAUGAACUGCGCUUGAAACUGUUCUGCUUGAGUGAAGUAGAGGCAGGCGGAAUUCCCGGUGUAGCGGUGAAAUGCGUAGAGAUCGGGAGGAACACCAGUGGCGAAGGCGGCCUGCUGGGCUUUAACUGACGCUGAGGCACGAAAGCAUGGGUAGCAAACAGGAUUAGAUACCCUGGUA
rnacentral:rRNA from 1 species